rnacentral:rRNA from 1 species
UCCUACAGUCAUAUUACUAUGAAAGGGCCUACUUUCUUCUGGUCUUGGAAACUAAGUAUGAAUGAGCCUGGUUAGUACUUGGAUGGAAAACCAACAAAACUAAAGUUGUCUUUGAAGAAA